CUCGCCCUUGUUGGUGAUGCUGCUGGUGCUGUGUUGGUACAGGCAUGCAGUGCUGAUGAAGAUGGCAUGCUUGGUUUUUGUGUUCAAAGUGAUGGCAAUGGACAAAAGCACCUAAGUGCCAUAGCGGCUAAUGACGAGUCUAUCUUGUCCAAUACCAAUGGUGUUCCAGGAUUUCCGCCAAAGAAGGCAACCUAGUCAUGCAUUCAAAUGAACGGAAAGGUAGUUUUUCGCUUUGUUGUCCGAUGCGUGCCACAAUCCAUUGAGAAGGCACUCCAAGAAGCUGGUUUGCUUGCCUCCAGUAUCGACUGGUUGUUGUUACAUCAAGUGGGUGUCCUAACUGAAAAUUUACCUGAUCUGAAUCAUCGGUGUUCUAAAUGAUCUUCUGUGUUACAGGCUAAUCAGCGUAUUAUUGAUGCUGCUGCUAGUAGAUUAGAUAUCCCAUCCGACAAGGUUAUUUCAAAUCUUGCUAAUUACGGCAAUACCAGUGCGGCAUCCAUCCCAUUAGCAUUGGAUGAGGCUGUUCGCAGUGGCAAGGUGAAGACUGGUGAUAUUAUUGCCACAUCAGGUUUUGGCGCUGGACUUACCUGGGGUUCAACUAUUGUCAAAUGGGGCUAAUUAUUCUACGUGAACCAUAACAACAUCAAUGAGAUCUUCAUAGGCCUUGGGGAC